rnacentral:snRNA from 1 species
AUACUCACUUCAGCAGCAUAUAUACUAAAAUUAGAAUGAUAUAGAAAAGUUAGCAUGUACAAGGUUGACAUGCAAAUUCGUGAAGCAUUCCAUAGUUUU